CUCAGUGAGUGAAUUCCAGAUGGUUCU
rnacentral:piRNA from 1 species